rnacentral:lncRNA from 1 species
CUUCCACUGCCCUGUCAGACUAAUAACUUAGUCAACUACAGAGGUUCUGUGAAUAUCAGAGUAUACACUUAGGGAUAAUGUAAAGAAUUUACUGCUUUUAAAAUAAGCAGAUAGGCAGGGCGCAGUGGCUCACGCCUGUAAUCCCAGCUACUCAGAAGGCUGAGACAGAGAAUCGCUUGAACGCAGGAGGUGGGAGCUGCAGUAAGCAGAGAUCACGCCACUGCACUCCAGCCUCAGAGAGACAGAGUGGGAGACUGUCAAAAAAAAAAAGCACACAAACACACAGAGAGAAAUACGGGAUAUCAUGAUUUGGAACUAUGCGGUUUGAAUAAAGCCACCUAUUUAAGACUAUAUGAAAUUGUUCCCCAAAAGAUAUCAUUUGGUUCUAAUCACAAGU